GGCGUGAUGGUCGAGCGGCUAAGGCAACGGUCUGCAAAACCGGUUCCGGUGGGUUCAACUCCCACUCACGCCUCCA
rnacentral:tRNA from 1 species